CAAUAGCGUAUAUUUAAGUUGCUGCAGUUAAAAAGCUCGUAGUUGGAUUUCGGGUGGGAAUGGCCGGUCCGCCGUUUCGGUGUGCACUUGCUACGCCCACCUUGCUGCCGGGGACGUGCUCUUGAGUGCACGCUCGGGACACGGAGUCGGCGAGGUUACUUUGAGUAAAUUAGAGUGUUCAAAGCAGGCCUACGCUCUGAAUACAUUAGCAUGGAAUAACACGAUAGGACUCUGGCCUAUCUUGUUGGUCUGUAGGACCGGAGUAAUGAUUAAGAGGGACAGUCGGGGGCAUUCGUAUUUCAUUGUCAGAGGUGAAAUUCUUGGAUUUAUGAAAGACGAACUACUGCGAAAGCAUUUGCCAAGGAUGUUUUCAUUAA
rnacentral:rRNA from 1 species